GGAUUGUGGCUCAGCGGUAGAGCACUCGCCUAGCAUGUGUGAGGCCCAGGGUUCAAUCCUCAGCACCA
rnacentral:tRNA from 1 species